rnacentral:rRNA from 1 species
GACGAACGCUGGCGGCGUGCUUAACACAUGCAAGUCGAACGAUGAAGCCAGCUUGCUGGUGGAUUAGUGGCGAACGGGUGAGUAACACGUGGGUGAUCUGCCCUGUACUUUGGGAUAAGCCUGGGAAACUGGGUCUAAUACCGAAUAUGACCACAGAAUGCAUGUUUUGUGGUGGAAAGCUCCGGCGGUAUGGGAUGGGCCCGCGGCCUAUCAGCUUGUUGGGGGGUAAUGGCCUACCAAGGCGACGACGGGUAGCCGGCCUGAGAGGGCGACCGGCCACACUGGGACUGAGACACGGCCCAGACUCCUACGGGAGGCAGCAGUGGGGAAUAUUGCACAAUGGGCGCAAGCCUGAUGCAGCGACGCCGCGUGAGGGAUGACGGCCU